rnacentral:lncRNA from 1 species
UUGGAUAUUCGUUUUUGCUCUACAGGGACCAUACUAUCCUCUCGCUCUCUCUAGGAUUCUUUUGCCCUCUGCGAUCUUGUUUGGGCCUUCUGUUCUCCACUCGGUAGCUUCUCUUAUCUGUAUUUCAUUCUUCUUUUCUCUUAUCUGUAUUUCAUUCUUCUUGUGGUACUUCUCUCUCAUCAGUUUAGGCCUUAUGUUCGAGACUUCGAUACAACUCUUUCUCUGCUUAGUAUUUAUAUCUAAUCUAUUUUUGUCUUUCUACCGAGUCAUGUUUCAAAUCUGUCUGCUGAGUUGUAUUUCGACUCUCUGAUUUCUUUUGAAUCUUUCCAUUCUCAACUCCGAAUGUAAGGUCCAACUGUGAUUGUUGAUCUGCCGCUGAUUUCUGUUAGCUCUUCCAAGUGCCUCAUGUUAGAUGAUCGAAUUUUUCGAUCCUGGUUGAUGAUCAAGUUUUAUGUUACUCCAUCCUGUGCUUGAUCAUAUCUGUUCCGAAUGCCUGUUGAUUUGCUGUUAUACGAGAUUGUUUGAUAUGUCGGUUUAUGAGGAUCGUUAAGUUGCAGCUGCUCAAGCUUCUUAUGUUCCUGCUUUGUUACUAAUGCUGCUUUCAGUUGUCCAAACUCAAGUUGCUAUCUCUUCAUGCAUAUUGAGUUUGAGGGAGUAUGUGGAAAAUAUAGAAACCUGAUGUUUAGGAACUAUAUUUUCCUUUCUUUUAUGUGUACCCUUAUUAAGAAGGUGUUACAUAUAUUAGUUUCUUUAGUAAUAUACAAUUGUGUGACCCCUAUAAAUUGUGGUUCUUGUUCACAUAUACGAUAACUUCAAUAAUUCAUCUUCAUAGGGCAUAAGGCUCAAUUAUACAGAAAUACAGUUGCUCACCGUAGGAGUGGAUCCCACAAUAUGAUAACUGAGUGUGGGGAUGCUACCACCACGACCCCAGCCCCUUUCCUAUAAACGUAUCAAUGUGCUCCAGAAAAAGUGUGCAUUUUUCAUUAUAUUGGUUUUGAGGCAUACUCAUACAAUAAACCAUAUUUCUAAAUCUAAAAUUGCAUUCCAACCCGACAGGUCCUGAGGCACACUCAUGCAGUAAACAAUCUUUCAAAAUUUUGAAACUAAGUUUAAUUUUUAUUUUAUUUUAUUUUAUUUUUGAAUCACCAAUCCAGACAAUCCAAGAAUGAUAUGAAUCGUUGAUCCAAAUUGGGGGUGGACAAUCUACCCUAGUGAUGUGCUUUGUUAGACCCUGCUUUUGACAUGUAAUUUGAUUAAGGGUUUUGUUAGGGUACUCUUAUACAUAUAGUAUUUACUUAAUGUACUUAAUAUUUUUAGACGCUUAAUAAAUGUAGCCCAUGACGUAGUAACAUUUGGCCUAAAGGCACUAUUGGCAGUUAAUCAAAAGUAAAAUAUAUAAUUUAUUGAUAAAAAAAAAACAUUUUUAGAUAUAGUGAAAAAUGAUAUAGUGAAAAACAUUUUUAGAUAUAGUGAAAAAUACCG